UCAUUGCAUUUUCCUUGUAUUGAAGGAAACCUUAAAGAGAGAGUGUGUUGGGAUCUGGUAUUGUAAAGGAUGUGGAAGGACUAUUGCUGGAGGUGCAUGGGUUGUCAGCACCACUGCUGCUGUCACAGUAAGAAGUGCAGUGCGCCGCUUGAGGGAGAUGAAAGAGACCUAAAUUUCUUGCUUGAACUAUCACAAUAAACCAUCUACUUUACACUUCAAA